rnacentral:rRNA from 1 species
AAUAGAUACCCGGGUAGUCCACGCCGUAAACGGUGGGCGCUAGGUGUGGGUUUCCUUCCACGGGAUCCGUGCCGUAGCUAACGCAUUAAGCGCCCCGCCUGGGGAGUACGGCCGCAAGGCUAAAACUCAAAGGAAUUGACGGGGGCCCGCACAAGCGGCGGAGCAUGUGGAUUAAUUCGAUGCAACGCGAAGAACCUUACCUGGGUUUGACAUAUACCGGAUCGCCUCAGAGAUGGGGUUUCCCUUGUGGUCGGUAUACAGGUGGUGCAUGGCUGCCGUCAGCUCGUGUCGUGAGAUGUUGGGUUAAGUCCCGCAACGAGCGCAACCCUUGUCCUGUGUUGCCAGCAAUUCGGUUGGGGACUCGCAGGAGACUGCCGGGGUCAACUCGGAGGAAGGUGGGGACGACGUCAAGGUCAGUCAUGCCCCUUAUGUCCAGGGCUUCACACAUGCUACAAUGGCCGGUACAGAGGGCUGCGAUACCGUGAGGUGGAGCGAAUCCCUUAAAGCCGGUCUCAGUUCGGAUCGGGGUCUGCAACUCGACCCCGUGAAGUCGG